UCUUAUGGAUGAGCAAAGAAAGUGGGUUCUUGAGAUAGAAUCCAAUCUUGGUGAAGAUGCUUUAAA
rnacentral:pre_miRNA from 1 species